UUAAUACAUGCAGUCGAGCGCAGGAAGCAGGCAGAUCCCCUUCGGGGGUGAUGCCUGUGGAAUGAGCGGCGGACGGGUGAGUAACACGUGGGCAACCUGCCUGUAAGAUCGGAAUAACUCCGGGAAACCGGGGCUAAUGCCGGGUAAUCCUUUUUCUCGCAUGAGAGAGAGGUAAAAGAUGGCCUUUGGCUAUCACUUACAGAUGGGCCCGCGGCGCAUUAGCUAGUUGGUGAGGUAAUAGCUCACCAAGGCGACGAUGCGUAGCCGACCUGAGAGGGUGAUCGGCCACACUGGGACUGAGACACGGCCCAGACUCCUACGGGAGGCAGCAGUAGGGAAUCUUCCGCAAUGGACGAAAGUCUGACGGAGCAACGCCGCGUGAACGAUGAAGGUCUUCGGAUCGUAAAGUUCUGUUGUUAGGGAAGAACAAGUACCGUGCGAAUAGAGCGGUACCUUGACGGUACCUAACGAGGAAGCCCCGGCUAACUACGUGCCAGCAGCCGCGGUAAUACGUAGGGGGCAAGCGUUGUCCGGAAUUAUUGGGCGUAAAGCGCGCGCAGGCGGUUUCUUAAGUCUGAUGUGAAAGCCCACGGCUCAACCGUGGAGGGUCAUUGGAAACUGGGGAACUUGAGGACAGAAGAGGAGAGUGGAAUUCCACGUGUAGCGGUGAAAUGCGUAGAUAUGUGGAGGAACACCAGUGGCGAAGGCGACUCUCUGGUCUGUUUCUGACGCUGAGGUGCGAAAGCGUGGGUAGCAAACAGGAUUAGAUACCCUGGUAGUCCACGCCGUAAACGAUGAGU
rnacentral:rRNA from 1 species